UACGUAGGUGGCAAGCGUUGUCCGGAUUUACUGGGCGUAAAGAGCGCGCAGGCGGUCGAUCAAGUCGCGUGUGAAAGCCCCCGGCUCAACUGGGGAGGGUCACGCGAUACUGAUCGACUCGAAGGCAGGAGAGGGUAGUGGAAUUCCCGGUGUAGUGGUGAAAUGCGUAGAGAUCGGCAGGAACACCGAGGGGGAAGCCAGCCACCUGGGCAGCCGCUGACGCUGAGGUGCGAAAGCGUGGGGAGCGAACUGG
rnacentral:rRNA from 1 species